UACGUAGGGUGCAGGCGUUAAUCGGAAUUACUGGGCGUAAAGCGUGCGCAGGCGGUUUGCUAAGUCAGGUGUGAAAUCCCCGGGCUUAACCUGGGAACUGCGCUUGUUACUGGCAGGCUUGAGUGUGGCAGGGGGGGGUGGAAUUCCACGUGUAGCAGUGAAAUGCGUAGAGAUGUGGAGGAACACCGAUGGCGAAGGCAGCCCCCUGGGCUAACACUGACGCUCAUGCACGAAAGCGUGGGGAGCAAACAGG
rnacentral:rRNA from 1 species